rnacentral:tRNA from 1 species
GGAGCUGUAGUUCAGAUGGAUAGAACAAUAUGCCAAAAGGAGCUUUGUCAAAAGCUCUUGCAGCAACUUUCCAGUCACCAUAUAGGUCGCAGGUUCGAGGUCUGCCAGCUCCG